GAGUUUGAUUAUGGCUCAGGAUGAACGCUGGCGGUAUGCUUAACACAUGAAGUCGAACGGAGGUAGCAAUACCUUAGUGGCGGACGGGUGAGUAACGCUGAGAAUCUGCCUUCAGGAUGGGGAUAACAGAGGGAAACUUCUGCUAAGCCCAAUGUGCCGAGAGGUGAAACAAAAUUUGCCUGAAGAUGAGCUCGCGCGGAUUAGCUAGUUGGUGAGGUAACGGCUCACCAAGGCGACGAUCCGUACUGGUCUGAGAGGAUGAUCAGCCACACUGGGACUGAGACACGGCCCAGAUCCUACGGGAGGCAGCAGUGGGGAAUUUUCCGCAAUGGGCGAAAGCCUGCGGAGCAAUACCGCGUGAGGGAGGAAGGCCUUUGGGUUGUAAACCUCUUUCUCAAGGAAGAAGCGAUGACGGUACUUGAGGAAUCAGCAUCGGCUAACCCGUGCCAGCAGCCGCGGUAAGACGGAGGAUGCAAGCGUUAUCCGGAAUAUUGGGCGUAAAGCGUCCGCAGGCGGCUCGUCAAGUCUGUUGUUAAAGAUGGGGCUUAACCCCAUCAGAGCGAUGGAAACUGAGGAGCUAGAGGGUGGAGGGGUAGAGGGAAUUCCCAGUGUAGCGGUGAAAUGCGUAGAUAUUGGGAGAACACCAGUGGCGAAAGCGCUCUACUGGGCCAUCACUGACGCUGAGGACGAAAGCUAGGGGAGCGAAAGGGAUUAGAUACCCCGGUAGUCCUAGCCUAAACGAU
rnacentral:rRNA from 1 species